GAGAGGGUCCUGAAGCAGAGUAAACCUGCUAAAUACAGACAGGACAGAAUGGUCAUGCUGAAGCGGGUUCUGUAGAUCCAAUCAUGCCUCAACAACUCUACGUGGGACUGAACUUCGUUGCAGCAUGUGAUAAACAGCCAUGGCUUCAGGAAAUCUUACAAAAAACAAACCACCCUCUCCCUUCUCAUGGUUGGGAAAGCAGUAAUGAAAAUAUUCCAAACAUCAGCUAGUGCCUCAGUUCACAGUUCUGGAAUGCCUUGAAUCAGCAACUGACUUUGUUUUGCUUAGUUUACAUCAACGGGAGGCAUUGCGGCAGAACAGCGACGCGAGGCAGAGCUGUCGUUAUUGUCUUAAAAAUCCUUUUGCAGGUCUGGACUCAGAGCAGCUUCGGCCUGAGUGUGGCUGGCUCCAUGAAGGCAGAAGGGCUGAGAGGGCCCGGCCGUAUCUGUACUGCAAUGUUUUUUUAGAGUCACAUCCUGAUCUGCAAAAUUAUUGUGAACAAGGAAGUUCGACUGCUUCUGGUGUUGCUUUCUUUAAAAGAAAAAAGGAAAGACUUGCUCCUUCUCAAGUAUCCUUUUUAGGUCAGCAGUUUUGAAGUUCAAGACUUAUUGG
rnacentral:lncRNA from 1 species